rnacentral:rRNA from 1 species
GUCGAGCGGCGGACGGGUGAGUAAUACUUAGGAAUCUACCUAGUAGUGGGGGAUAGCUCGGGGAAACUCGAAUUAAUACCGCAUACGACCUACGGGAGAAAGGGGGCAGUUUACUGCUCUCGCUAUUAGAUGAGCCUAAGUCGGAUUAGCUAGAUGGUGGGGUAAAGGCCUACCAUGGCGACGAUCUGUAGCUGGUCUGAGAGGAUGAUCAGCCACACCGGGACUGAGACACGGCCCGGACUCCUACGGGAGGCAGCAGUGGGGAAUAUUGGACAAUGGGGGGAACCCUGAUCCAGCCAUGCCGCGUGUGUGAAGAAGGCCUUUUGGUUGUAAAGCACUUUAAGCAGUGAAGAAGACCUAACGGUUAAUACCCGUUAGCGAUGACAUUAGCUGCAGAAUAAGCACCGGCUAACUCUGUGCCAGCAGCCGCGGUAAUACAGAGGGUGCAAGCGUUAAUCGGAAUUACUGGGCGUAAAGCGAGCGUAGGUGGCUUGAUAAGUCAGAUGUGAAAUCCCCGGGCUUAACCUGGGAACUGCAUCUGAUACUGUUAAGCUAGAGUAGGUGAGAGGGAAGUAGAAUUCCAGGUGUAGCGGUGAAAUGCGUAGAGAUCUGGAGGAAUACCGAUGGCGAAGGCAGCUUCCUGGCAUCAUACUGACACUGAGGCUCGAAAGCGUGGGUAGCAAACAGGAUUAGAUACCCUGGUAGUCCACGCCGUAAACGAUGUCUACUAGUCGUUGGGUCCCUUGAGGACUUAGUGACGCAGCUAACGCAAUAAGUAGACCGCCUGGGGAGUACGGCCGCAAGGUUAAAACUCAAAUGAAUUGACGGGGGCCCG